rnacentral:rRNA from 1 species
GACGAACGCUGGCGGCGUGCUUAACACAUGCAAGUCGAACGGAAAGGCCCCUUUGGGGGUACUCGAGUGGCGAACGGGUGAGUAACACGUGAGUAACCUGCCCUUGACUUCGGGAUAACUUCAGGAAACUGGGGCUAAUACCGGAUAGGAAUCCUUGCUGCAUGGUGGGGGUUGGAAAGCUUCGGCGGUUUUGGAUGGACUCGCGGCUUAUCAGCUUGUUGGUGGGGUAGUGGCUUACCAAGGCUUUGACGGGUAGCCGGCCUGAGAGGGCGACCGGCCACAUUGGGACUGAGAUACGGCCCAGACUCCUACGGGAGGCAGCAGUGGGGAAUAUUGCACAAUGGGCGGAAGCCUGAUGCAGCAACGCCGCGUGCGGGAUGACGGCCUUCGGGUUGUAAACCGCUUUCAGCAGGGGCGAAGCUUGUGGUGACGUUACCUGCAGAAGAAGCACCGGCUAACUACGUG